CCUACGGGGUGCAGCAGUGGGGAAUAUUGGACAAUGGGCAAAAGCCUGAUCCAGCCAUGCCGCGUGUGUGAAGAAGGCCUUCGGGUUGUAAAGCACUUUCAGUGGGGAAGAAAGCCUUGGGGCUAAUGCCCUCGAGGAAGGACAUCACCCACAGAAGAAGCACCGGCUAACUCCGUGCCAGCAGCCGCGGUAAUACGGAGGGUGCGAGCGUUAAUCGGAAUUACUGGGCGUAAAGCGCGCGUAGGCGGUCUGAUAAGCCGGUUGUGAAAGCCCCGGGCUCAACCUGGGAACGGCAUCCGGAACUGUCAGGCUAGAGUGCAGGAGAGGAAGGUAGAAUUCCCGGUGUAGCGGUGAAAUGCGUAGAGAUCGGGAGGAAUACCAGUGGCGAAGGCGGCCUUCUGGACUGACACUGACGCUGAGGUGCGAAAGCGUGGGUAGCAAACAGGAUUAGAUACCCGAGUAGUC
rnacentral:rRNA from 1 species